CUUAGAGGUGAGAACAGAUUAAGGUACCCUGAAUCAUAAGGUUCCUCUCUAGUAGGACAGUACUGUCAGGUAGUUCAUACAUCAUUCUCCCAAAUUUAUGCCGAUAUUAUCGAUGAUAUUAGUGCCACGUGUAAUGAAGGAAUUAAAUAAUUAUGGGACCAUAUGGUGCUCUCUGCUGUGAGUCACAGAGGGGAGCCACAACACCAGAGGAAUGAUAGUGAAGCCCCAAAGCAGAAGAAUGGCAAGGGCAACUCCUUGGGAACAUCAUUUAUCCUCCUCAGAAGCUCCCAAAGGUGUCACUCCAGCAAAGCCAUUGGCUCACUCUUUCCUUGUUUUCAGGAUGAGGACUGGGAGAAGACUGCUUGCUGCAAAAAUUGUCCUCCCAUCCACCUGUAUCACCUUGCACCCACGGCAGAUUCAAGAAUUACAGAAACAGGAAUCCUGGGAUCUCCUUUCCUCUUGAAUCCCCAAAAUCUGGAGCUUGCUUGUCUAUUUCCUUUUUCCUUCAGUCCUGCUCUCACAGCAAAGCAAACAUCAAAACCAAGACCGAGACCCAGCACACUGUUUAUGUGUUCCAAAUACUUGCAGAUUAAGGAAAAACUGAUUCCAGUCUUAACUGUGGAUUGUAACAAUAACUACAGUUAGCCAAAAGUGAAAGCCUUCAGGUAAGUACUCCCACUUGGAAUCACUUCACUUAGGAUCCUUUGUGCUGAAUGCGAUUCCUAGGAUAAGCAUUAUCUUUUCUAUAUGUCAAUAUAAAAUCCUUUUUUUAAGUAGUGUCACUCUCAGCCACCACAUUUGGUGCAAUUUAGUGCUGUUAGAUGCUUUCAUGUCAUGUGGUUAUAGCUGGGUAGAUUAAUAGGAACUUCUAUAUGGAAAUUUCUUUCCUGUUAUUGUUCUCCCUGAGCAGUUGAUGGCUAAGUUAAUUCUCUUUAGUUUUGUCAUGCACUAAAGCACACAUUGCCAAGCUAUGAUAAGCUUUACGCAGGGACAAAAAAACGCUCUUGUGUCCAUCAAAGUCUUAAACUUGCAUUUUAAACUUUGGCCUGACCUG
rnacentral:lncRNA from 13 species